UUAAGUUCAGCGGGUAUGCCUACCUGAUCCGAGGUCAACCAAAGGAUCACACCAGAUGGGGGGUCUGGGUGGGCAGGGCAAGGCCUGACUGCUGACUGGUCUACAUCUUCACGACAGUUACUAAGUCACUCGUCGGGGCCUGUUUGUCCUGAUUAUGCAUUUCAGCAGAGCUGUACCGCAGUUCCAAGGAGCCACGGGGG
rnacentral:misc_RNA from 1 species